UCCCCUGUAGCUCAGUUGGUAGAGCAGGCGGCUGUUAACCGCCUUGUCGUAGGUUCGAGUCCUACCGGGGGAGCUA
rnacentral:tRNA from 1 species